GCUCGAAUGACGUGAAGGUGGAGAAGGUGGUAACCCUGGAUAACGGACAUAAACCAUCUCAUAGGCACCAAAAUCCGUAGUCUUAAUGAAUACUGCCCUCUUCCAGAACUUCUGAUAGAUGGUUAAAGCUGUGGUACCAUCAAAUUUUCCAUCUGUAGGAACCAAGUUGAUAUGUACAAUUGUUUUCUCAAGCUGUUGGUCAGCUGCAUUUGCUCCCAUAAUCCGCACUUGACUCGUGUUUAGCAAAACACCAGCAGCAAUUUCCUUGGCUAGCUCAGAUACCAAAGGAAAGAAGGUAUAGAGUGUGACAUUGAGGCACAUCGCUACCUGAAUGGGCCACACACAGCCGCAGGGUGACCCAGGAGGUGUGUACGUCAACGGCUCAGUGCAUGUCAAAGAACUACAAUCAUGAUUCGGAGGUGGUGGUGGCAGUGUCAUA
rnacentral:misc_RNA from 1 species